rnacentral:tRNA from 1 species
GGGCGAUUAGCUCACUUGGCUAGAGCGCUUCCUUGACGUGGAAGAGGUAAAAGGUUCAAAUCCUUUAUCGCCCACCA